UGAUGUAUGAAUCUUAUCUACACCGUCCAUCUCUAUUUUCAUAUCAUUAUAGAGUAUCAAACAAAAAAUAAGGCAGAUCCGAGGCUCAAGUGGACCACACCAUAGUAAGCAGCAGUGCUAAGGACGCCUACAGUUGAAACCUUCCUACGCCCACUUUGUCGUUUAUUUUCCAUCCAACCCCUUGAUAUGGUCAUAUACACAUGGAUGAAGUGAAAAAACAAAUAUCGUCUUGAUCCAAAACUUCUGUUGUCCCUAAGAAAUAUUCAACGGUAGAAAUUUAAUCCCCAUUGCGUGUCCCAUUUGAGACUUGGAUCUUCGUAGUUUUGGAAUAACAUUCUAAAAUAAUAUGAAAAUAGACGGUGUGGAUAAAGUUCAUACAUCACGGCGGCCCCUCAGAGGCCCUCGGAGCCUCCACCUGUCCCGAGCUCCGAACAGGUGGGGCUAGUACGUAAUCCGCGCCCAUGGAAAACUCCUAGCCUUACAACGUGGAUAGGCCGAUUCGGGAGCGAUUAGUUGUGGUUGACCUCAUCAAAGGUUUGGAUGGAAAAUAAACAUGGUGGAUCUUUUUACAGUAGGCCUUGGGAAGUUUUUAAUGACCAACAUUCAAUCAUCGCUGUUUCGUGUGGUGUAGUGCACCUUAUAUAUGGAUAUGCUUAAUUUUUUAAUUUUUGGGACCUUGUCUUAAAUGAGCUGUAAAAACGGAUGGACGGAGUGGAUAAAAAACAUAUGAUCAAAGUGGUCCUUAUAGUAAGGUAACACCAGUUGUUACCCCGUGACAUCUAAUCCUCAGCCGCCUGAUUCAGGCAGCCCCACCCAAUUA